UAGUAGUGGUGGUAGCGGUAGUAGUGGUAGUAGCGGUAGUAGUGGUAGUAGUGGUAGUGGUACGGAUAGUAGUUGUAGUAGUAAUAGUGGUAGUAGUGGUGGUGAAGUAAAACACUCUUAUCUAUUGGAGAGAAUUUACAUGGCUCAGAUUUUGCUGUAUAUGAACAUGCGGAGAGAGAGCGAUACACACCAUGGAUGCAAACACCGGUUUGCAUAUGAUGCCA
rnacentral:lncRNA from 1 species